rnacentral:rRNA from 1 species
CCUACGGGAGGCAGCAGUGGGGAAUAUUGCACAAUGGGGGAAACCCUGAUGCAGCGACGCCGCGUGAGUGAAGAAGUAUUUCGGUAUGUAAAGCUCUGUCAGCAGGGAAGAAAAUGACGGUACCUGACCAAGAAGCCCCGGCUAACUACGUGCCAGCAGCCGCGGUAAUACGUAGGGGGCAAGCGUUAUCCGGAAUUAUUGGGUGUAAAGGGUGCGUAGACGGGAAAACAAGUUAGUUGUGAAAUCCCUCGGCUUAACUGAGGAACUGCAACUAAAACUAUUUUUCUUGAGUGCAGGAGAGGUAAGUGGAAUUCCUAGUGUAGCGGUGAAAUGCGUAGAUAUUAGGAGGAACACCAGUGGCGAAGGCGACUUACUGGACUGUAACUGACGUUGAGGCACGAAAGUGUGGGGAGCAAACAGGAUUAGAUACCCGUGUAGUC